CUACGGGGCGCUCCAGUGAGGAAUAUUGCACAAUGGGGGAAACCCUGAUGCAGCAACGCCGCGUGGAGGAUGACGCAUUUCGGUGUGUAAACUCCUUUUAUCAGAGAAGAAAAUGACGGUAUCUGAUGAAUAAGCUCCGGCUAACUCCGUGCCAGCAGCCGCGGUAAUACGGAGGGAGCAAGCGUUAUUCGGAAUCACUGGGCGUAAAGGACGCGUAGGCGGGUUAUUAAGUCAGGUGUGAAAUCCAAUGGCUCAACCAUUGAACUGCACUUGAAACUGGUAACCUAGAGUAUGGAAGGGGCAGAUGGAAUUAGUGGUGUAGGGGUAAAAUCCGUAGAUAUCACUAGGAAUACCGAAAGCGAAGGCGAUCUGCUGGGACAUUACUGACGCUGAGGCGUGAAAGCGUGGGGAGCAAACAGGAUUAGAUACCCUCGUAGUC
rnacentral:rRNA from 1 species